UACGGGGGGGGCAAGCGUUGUUCGGAAUUACUGGGCGUAAAGGGCUCGUAGGCGGCCAACUAAGUCAAACGCGAAAUCCCUCGGCUUAACCGGGGAACUGCGUCUGAUACUGGAUGGCUUGAGUUUGGGAGAGGGAUGCGGAAUUCCAGGUGUAGCGGUGAAAUGCGUAGAUAUCUGGAGGAACACCGGUGGCGAAGGCGGCAUCCUGGACCAACACUGACGCUGAGGAGCGAAGGCCAGGGGAGCAAACGGG
rnacentral:rRNA from 1 species